UUACCUUUCACAUUUCUGUCAAGAUGGUCAUAUGAAUUCAUUGAAGAGGCCAUUGAUUUGGUGUUGCUUAUUUCAAAUAGAUUUAGCAACUCAUUGCAAUAUUGAGUUUGACAAUUGAAAGUUCCCUCUUUCAUUUGUUUCACUUGCAACCUCAAGUUGAAAAUAAUCUCGUCCAUCAUUAACAUCUCAAAUUUUGCUACUCAUGAAUUUUAAAACUCCUUGCAUACAAAUUUAUUAGUUGUUCCAAAUAUAAUAUCAU
rnacentral:lncRNA from 1 species